CUCUCAUUUCUCACGUAAUUGGAGAACGAAGCUUCUCAGCAAUUUCGGUGGAUUUCCAUCUUAGUAUCAUCUCGCCAAAUCGAGGAUUAUACAGAUUAUUUUGUUGUGUAAAUGCUUCGAAAAGGUAUGUGGUUUAAGAUCAGCGGCCGAGAAAACGCCUAUGGCUUUGCCGGAGUCAUUUAUAAGCUCAUACGAGCUGGUGCCCACUCUAGCUAUGACCUGACAAGGCUCAUAGCAUGGACCUAAUUUGGCAUUGUAACUAUUUGGGGCGGACGAUUGGUGGAAAUUUCUCUUCCAUACCUUUUGUCCUACCGAGUAUACCGGUGCGGUCU